UACGUAGGGGGCAAGCGUUGUCCGGAUUUAUUGGGCGUAAAGCGCCCGCAGGCGGUCGUGUCAGUUUGGGGUGACAGCUCCUGGCUUAACCGGGAGAGGACCUCGAAGACGGCGCGACUUGAGGGCCAGAGAGGGACAUGGAACUCCGGGUGGAGUGGUGGAAUGCGUAGAGAUCCGGAAGAACACCAAAGGCGAAGGCAGUGUCCUGGCUGGCACCUGACGCUCAGGGGCGAAAGCGAGGGGAG
rnacentral:rRNA from 1 species